AUGAAAAAAUUGCUGGGUCACACAAAACUCCUUAAUCUCUUUAGAUUUUCCUCUUUCUCUUCAACUUCUCAUUUCAACCACUUCACCACUACCAGUUUGAAAUCUGGUGCAGUAAUAAGAACAAUAUUGAAAUUUAAAGUUAUAACCCUAAAAAAUUCACAAUCACAUCGUGCUUUCGUUUUUCAACCAUCUCUCAAUCUUACUGCUAACUACCUCCGUAAUUUCCGCUAUUCUGGUGCAGUUUGGAACGUGGCCGAAGGUGUGGGCAGCCCAGCAGCUUGCUCUAAUAAAUCAUAA